rnacentral:rRNA from 1 species
UACGUAGGGCGCAAGCGUUAUCCGGAAUUAUUGGGCGUAAAGAGCUCGUAGGCGGUUUGUCGCGUCUGCCGUGAAAGUCCGGGGCUCAACUCCGGAUCUGCGGUGGGUACGGGCAGACUAGAGUGCAGUAGGGGAGACUGGAAUUCCUGGUGUAGCGGUGGAAUGCGCAGAUAUCAGGAGGAACACCGAUGGCGAUGGCAGAUCUCUGGGCCGUAACUGACGCUGAGGAGCGAAAGCAUGGGGAGCGAACAGG